UCAGUGAAUCAUCGAAUCUUUGAACGCACAUUGCGCCCCCUGGUAUUCCGGGGGGCAUGCCUGUUCGAGCGUCAU
rnacentral:rRNA from 4 species